rnacentral:rRNA from 1 species
UACGUAGGGGGCAAGCGUUGUCCGGAAUCAUUGGGCGUAAAGCGCGUGUAGGCGGCCCGGUAAGUCCGCUGUGAAAGUCGGGGGCUCAACCCUCGAAUGCCGGUGGAUACUGUCGGGCUAGAGUGCGGGAGAGGCGAGUGGAAUUCCUGGUGUAGCGGUGAAAUGCGCAGAUAUCAGGAGGAACACCAAUUGCGAAGGCAGCUCGCUGGAAUGUAACUGACGCUGAGACGCGAAAGCGUGGGGAGCAAACAGG